rnacentral:rRNA from 1 species
CUGAUGCAGCGACGCCGCGUGAGGGAUGACGGCCUUCGGGUUGUAAACCUCUUUCAGCAGGGACGAAGCGCAAGUGACGGUACCUGUAGAAGAAGGACCGGCCAACUACGUGCCAGCAGCCGCGGUAAUACGUAGGGUCCGAGCGUUGUCCGGAAUUACUGGGCGUAAAGAGCUCGUAGGUGGUUUGUCGCGUUGUUCGUGAAAACUCACAGCUCAACUGUGGGCGUGCGGGCGAUACGGGCAGACUUGAGUACUGCAGGGGAGACUGGAAUUCCUGGUGUAGCGGUGGAAUGCGCAGAUAUCAGGAGGAACACCGGUGGCGAAGGCGGGUCUCUGGGCAGUAACUGACGCUGAGGAGCGAAAGCGUGGGGAGCGAACAGGAUUAGAUACCCUGGUAGUCCACGCCGUAAACGGUGGGUACUAGGUGUGGGUUUCCUUCCUUGGGAUCCGUGCCGUAGCUAACGCAUUAAGUACCCCGCCUGGGGAGUACGGCCGCAAGGCUAAAACUCAAAGAAAUUGACGGGGGCCCGCACAAGCGGCGGAGCAUGUGGAUUAAUUCGAUGCAACGCGAAGAACCUUACCUGGGUUUGACAUGCACAGGACGCCGGCAGAGAUGUCGGUUCCCUUGUGG